rnacentral:rRNA from 1 species
AUAACCUGGAGGAAGGUGGGGAUGACGUCAAAUCAUCAUGCCCCUUAUGCUUAGGGCUACACACGUGCUACAAUGGGUAGUACAGAGGGUUGCCAAGCCGUAAGGUGGAGCUAAUCCCUUAAAGCUAUUCUCAGUUCGGAUUGUAGGCUGAAACUCGCCUACAUGAAGCUGGAGUUACUAGUAAUCGCAGAUCAGAAUGCUGCGGUGAAUGCGUUCCCGGGUCUUGUACACACCGCCCGUCACACCACGGGAGUUGGAGACGCCCGAAGCCGAUUAUCUAACCUUUUGGAAGAAGUCGUCGAAGGUGGAAUCAAUAACUGGGGUGAAGUCGUAACAAGGUAGCCGUAUCGGAAGGUGCGGCUGGAUCACCUCCUUUCUAAGGAGA